GAGUUUGAUCGUGGCUCAGGAUGAACGCUAGCGACAGGCUUAACACAUGCAAGUCGAGGGGCAGCACAGGUAGCAAUACUGAUGCUGACGACCGGCGCACGGGUGCGUAACGCGUAUGCAACCUACCUUAUACAGGGGGAUAACCUUUCGAAAGGGAGACUAACACCGCAUAACAUUAUUUUCAGGCAUCUGGGAAUAAUUAAAUGAGCGAUCAGGUAUAAGAUGGGCAUGCGUAGCAUUAGUUAGAUGGCGAGGUAACGGCUCACCAUGGCAUGAUGCUUAGGGGUUCUGAGAGGAACGGUCCCCCA
rnacentral:rRNA from 1 species